CUGGUCACCGAAUGGCUUGCAUCGCAUCCUCCUGGCGAUAGAACUCUCAGCCAAGGCCUGAAGGUAAGAACGAAAACCCAAAAAACGUUUUUUGCUUCGUUCGAACUAAUAAAAACUGUGCUUUUCAGGGAGAUCCAACUUACCUCGUUGUUGAGAACGAUGGAACGUUGGCACCAUAUGCAAUUAACGCUGUUUGCACGCAUCUCGGAUGUGUGGUUCCCUGGAACAAAGCGGAGAACAAGUUUAUCUGUCCUUGCCACGGUUCUCAAUACAACAACCAGGGAAGAGUCGUCCGAGGUCCUGCACCAUUGGUAAGUUCAGAACCAAGAAUAUGAAUCAAGGAGCUAACCUGUGUACUUGAAAACUUGCAGUCACUAGCGUUGGCUCACUGUGACGUCGACAGCAACAAAGUUAUUUUGAGCCUCUGGCCCGAGACGG
rnacentral:lncRNA from 1 species